rnacentral:rRNA from 1 species
UGGGGAAUAUUGCACAAUGGGCGCAAGCCUGAUGCAGCCAUGCCGCGUGUGUGAAGAAGGCCUUCGGGUUGUAAAGCACUUUUAGCGGGGAGGAAGGCGAUAAGGUUAAUAACCUUGUCGAUUGACGUUACCCGCAGAAGAAGCACCGGCUAACUCCGUGCCAGCAGCCGCGGUAAUACGGAGGGUGCAAGCGUUAAUUGGAAUUACUGGGCGUAAAGCGCACGCAGGCGGUCUGUCAAGUCUGAUGUGAAAUCCCCGGGCUUAACCUAGGAACUGAAUUCGAAACUGGCAGGCUAGAGUCUUGUAGAGGGGGGUAGAAUUCCAGGUGUAGCGGUGAAAUGCGUAGAGAUCUGGAAGAAUACCGGUGGCGAAGGCGGCCCCCUGGACAAAGACUGACGCUCAGGUGCGAAAGCGUGGGGAGCAAACAGG